rnacentral:rRNA from 1 species
GUCUAUGGCCAUGCUACCUUGAACAAGCCUGAUCCUAUCUGAUCUCGGAAGCUAAGCAGGGUCGGGCCUGGCUAGUACUAGGAAGACCAGGUGCUGUAGGCG